CAAUAGCGUAUAUUAAAGUUGUUGCAGUUAAAAAGCUCGUAGUUGGAUUUCGGGGCAGCCUGGCUGGUCCGCCGCAAGGCGAGUACUGGUCAGCCGCCCUUCCUCUCGAAAGCCCCGACUGCUCUUUAUUGCAGUGGUCGGGUAGUUCGGGACGUUUACUUUGAAAAAAUUAGAGUGUUCAAGGCAGGCCUACGCCUGAAUACAUUAGCAUGGAAUAAUGGAAGAGGACCUCGGUCCUAUUUUGUUGGUUUCCAGGACCGAAGUAAUGAUUAAGAGGGACAGUUGGGGGCAUUCGUAUUUAAUUGUCAGAGGUGAAAUUCUCGGAUUUAUGAAAGACGAACAACUGCGAAAGCACUUGCCAAGGAUGUUUUCAUUAA
rnacentral:rRNA from 1 species